GAUGAAGAACGUAGCGAAAUGCGAUAAGUAAUGCGAAUUGCAGAAUUCCAGUGAGUCAUCGAAUCUUUGAACGCACAUUGCGCCCUUUGGUAUUCCGAAAGGCAUGCCUGUUCGAGCGUCAUUAUCACCCCUCAAGCCCUCGGCUUGGUGUUGGACGGUUUGGUGGAGGCCCCCUCGGGGGCUCCUGCCCCUCCCAAAGACAAUGACGGCGGCCUCGUUGGACCCCCGGUACACUGAGUUCUUCACGGGACACGUAUCGGACACAUGGGUUUACGGGACACGGUCUGCCUCCCCUCAGGGAGAAUCUUUCUAAGGUUGACCUCGGAUCAGGUAGGGAUACCCGCUGAACUUAAGCAUAUCAAUAAGCGGAGGA
rnacentral:misc_RNA from 1 species